GGAGGCGUAAAGUCUAAGUUCAGUUUGAGUCGGAUGUACGCGUGAUGCUACGUGUGAUUUUAUUCAGUAUAUGCUCAAUUCUUAAUUUGUUUAGUAUUUUAAAUUACAAUUGAAUUUUAUAUAUUUUGACAAUGUGACAAUAAUACACAAAAGACAAUGACAAACGUACAAAAGAUAGAACUAAACUUCAAAUUCUUAUAGUGAUCCAGACUGGCUUAUAUAAAAACUUACAAA
rnacentral:misc_RNA from 1 species